CACAGCUUCUACCAUCAGAUCUCACAACUCACGAGUCUCAUCGCCCAAACGAGCAAGCUUUUGUCCCUCACCUCCGGUCACUCAUUUAUUCUCACCGCCGGUCAUCCAUCUAUUCUCACCGUCGGUCACUCAUCUAUCAAGAAGUGGUUUGGCUUUCAAUCUGCAUCCAAAGAAGAACCAGGAGGAUGAUGUUCCACAGAUUCAAAAAAGUGAAAGUAUAUCAAAGUAAAAGGAAGAUAAGAAGGCUCACUAGAAGAUUGUGAAGUGCCAAGAAAAAUUCAAUCUUUGUUGUUGUUAAAAAAUCUGUUGUAGAAUUUGUUGUAGAAUUUUUAUAACGUGUUCUUGACUUCUUGUUAAAAAAUUUGUUGUAGAAUUUUUAUAAUUUGGACCAUGCUGGAAGUAUUGUGUAAUGAAUGAGAUAUUUUAUUUUUA